UGGGGAAUAUUGCACAAUGGCCGCAAGCCUGAUGCAGCCAUGCCGCGUGUGUGAAGAAGGCCUUCGGGUUGUAAAGCACUUUCAGCGGGGAGGAAGGCGUUAAGGUUAAUAACCUUGGCGAUUGACGUUACCCGCAGAAGAAGCACCGGCUAACUCCGUGCCAGCAGCCGCGGUAAUACGGAGGGUGCAAGCGUUAAUCGGAAUUACUGGGCGUAAAGCGCACGCAGGCGGUCUGUCAAGUCGGAUGUGAAAUCCCCGGGCUCAACCUGGGAACUGCAUUCGAAACUGGCAGGCUAGAGUCUUGUAGAGGGGGGUAGAAUUCCAGGUGUAGCGGUGAAAUGCGUAGAGAUCUGGAGGAAUACCGGUGGCGAAGGCGGCCCCCUGGACGAAGACUGACGCUCAGGUGCGAAAGCGUGGGGAGCAAACAGG
rnacentral:rRNA from 1 species